rnacentral:sRNA from 1 species
AUUCCUACCCCUUCCCCGGUACCAUAAAAUCCUGGGAUAUGAGCCGGAAGAGGCAUCAUCUGAUCCCGGAGACCCUUGGAGUUAAGAGGCGGCGGAAGCGAGGGCCUGUGGAGUCGGAUCCUCUUCGGGGUGAGCCAGAAGGAGCUUCAAGAGCAGGGGGAGAUCAGAAUCGUCCAGCUGGGCUUCGACUUGGAUGCCCAUGGAAUUAUCUUCACUGAGGACUACAAGACCAGAGUCCUCAAAGCCUGUGAUGGCCGACCGUAUGCUGGGGCAGUGCAGAAAUUUCUAGCUUCAGUACUUCCAGCCUGUGGGGACCUUAGUUUCCAGCAGGACCAAAUGACACAGACCUUUGGCUUCAGGGACUCAGAAAUCACGUGAGACUUGUGGAACCAACAAAGUCAGGCAUCUGGUGCUUCCCUGCCUCCCUCCAGUUCCAUCCAGCCUGUCCUUCUGUGUUUUUGGUGAACCUGCCAGAAAAGCUGCCAAAAAGCUGACUCUUCUUUUUAAUGAAAUGACCCAAGUUUGUAUUCCUCCCCACAAGA